GGAUUGUAAAUGGCACCUCGUUUACAUGAACUUGGGAUUGCUAGUAAUCGCUGGUCAGCCACACGGUGGUGAAUUCG
rnacentral:rRNA from 1 species